rnacentral:lncRNA from 1 species
UCCGCAUAAAAUGAUAUAAAGAUGUAGUAUAUAAAUAUAGUAAGAGUAGCAUUAUUCUUGCGUGCGAGUAAGAUUCUUAAUUGUAGACAUAGUUACCUUCUUCGUUUGAUGAAGGUUAACUUUUUAUACAGUCGUUGGGUGAUUAGUUUCUUGCCAUUGAAAGCCACCUGGCAUAUGCCUAUUUGGUCUGUUGAUUGGCUGUUUGACUUGGGGCGUGAUAUAAUUAAGGGGUUUAAUGCAUGUGAUAUUUUCCCAUUACAUACAUAAUAGCCGGCCCUCGGUUUUCUAAGGCCUAGGGCAAAUUUUCUCAAGUGUGGCCCUUUAUACAAAUUAAAUAUUAAAAUUAAAAAAUUUAUUAAAAUUAUAAGAAUUUACGAAAGAUAAAGAAAAACACUUUGGGUCCUCAUUAAAAUUUUGUUUGAGGAAAACCUAAUGGGACAAAACCCCAAACGAAAAAAAAAGAGUACCCCGCAUAGGAAACAUUGCAUUCACAAAUAAAAACCAGCUUUUGUUUGUUUAACAAAAUAUUUAUUCAAAGAUUCUUUGUAAACUUUGAGCAAUUUUUUUUUUUUUUCGUUCUUUGUCUCUUGAGAUUUCCAAAAGUUGUUUCUUAGGAACCAUUUUUUAAUUUUUAUAAUAAACAUAACACAAUAAAAAUAAAAAUAAAACUAAUUAACAAAGAACAAUAAAACUUGGAUUUUGAGUAUAUUUUCUUCAACUUGAAACUUCCAAUUAUAAAGAACAAGAAUAACAUCCAAGUUUUCUGUUGAAUCAAAUAAUAAAGAAAACAAAUUAAUUAAUAAAGAUAUGUAUUACAAUUUACAAAAUUUAUACAUCUAUAUCUAUCUAUAUAAAAAAAAAAAAUUACCUUCAAAGAAAGCCAAUGGUCUAGCUUGUAGAUGAGAAUCACACAAAAACAAAAAAAAACAAAAAAUGCUUGGGUUAUGACCUUCUGAGAAGGUCUGAUAUGUCAUGAAGGGUUUUUUCAUCUUUUUAUUUUUGGGCUAAGAAGGUUUUUUUUUUUUUUAAAUAAAAAAUAAAAAUAUUUAAUGUGGAAGAAGGUUUGUUGAUUUCCCCAUGUUUUGUUUAUUUUGUUUUAUAUUAUAUUAUAUAAUUAAUAAUUGAUUUUACUUCUUCAGUAAGUUUCUUGAGAAUAUAAAAAGUAAUUGAU